GAGGCAUCUGUCACAUUCACAGUGUACUGCCCACCAGCGAACGUGCUGACUGGAUUAGCAUUGCUCAGGUUCUUGAAAUCGGAAAGAGUGUAGUACUUAGGGAAUGCAUGGAAUAAGAGGAGGGAUUUGAGUUGGUCUUGGGUCAGGUUGGCGAGUGAUGGUUUUUUGAGGGACGAGAAGGCGGAGUCUUUCGGGACGAAGAUGGUGAUGCCCUGGUCGGUGUUGUUUGCUUGGUUUUGAAACGUUUCGAUGACUUUUGUUUGCUCGAGAUAGUUGAGGAAGGUCUGGAACGGGCCGGCGACGGACAGUAGGGAGCUUAUGUUCGCCAGGUGUGGGGCGGGGGCUGGUGCGGG
rnacentral:misc_RNA from 1 species